rnacentral:rRNA from 1 species
GACGAACGCUGGCGGCGUGCCUAAUACAUGCAAGUAGAACGCUGAAGGAGGAGCUUGCUUCUCUGGAUGAGUUGCGAACGGGUGAGUAACGCGUAGGUAACCUGCCUGGUAGCGGGGGAUAACUAUUGGAAACGAUAGCUAAUACCGCAUAAGAGUAGAUGUUGCAUGACAUUUGCUUAAAAGGUGCAAUUGCAUCACUACCAGAUGGACCUGCGUUGUAUUAGCUAGUUGGUGAGGUAACGGCUCACCAAGGCGACGAUACAUAGCCGACCUGAGAGGGUGAUCGGCCACACUGGGACUGAGACACGGCCCAGACUCCUACGGGAGGCAGCAGUAGGGAAUCUUCGGCAAUGGACGGAAGUCUGACCGAGCAACGCCGCGUGAGUGAAGAAGGUUUUCGGAUCGUAAAGCUCUGUUGUAAGAGAAGAACGAGUGUGAGAGUGGAAAGUUCACACUGAGACGGUAUCUUACCAGAAAGGGACGGCUAACUACGUG